rnacentral:lncRNA from 1 species
ACAUUUUCAUCGGUCUGUCUAUGUGUCCACAAGUAUGUAUGCAUUUUCAAUAGUCUUCAUAUUCACCAGUCUGUCUCCGUGUUCAAUAGUCUAUUUACAUGUUUACCAGUCAGUUUUAUAUAUCCGUUAGUCUGCAUACUAUACCAGUCUGUGUAUGUGCCCACCAUUCUGUCUAUACAUGUCUACACAUGUCUACCAUUGGUCUAUAUGUCUACCAUAUUAUAGUGUCAAUGUGUCCACCGUCUGUCUACAUGUUCAUCAGUCCGUCUGUAAUUGCAUUUUGUUGUGUUAUUUUGUCUGAUAUUCCAAAUCUUCAUUACGCUGAAAUUUACAUGGCUUGCAUUCUUUUGACCUGAAAACGUACUAUAGGU